UACGUAGGGGGCAAGCGUUGUCCGGAUUUAUUGGGCGUAAAGCGCGUGUAGGCGGUCCGGUAAGUCCGCUGUGAAAGUCGGGGGCUCAACCCUCGGAUGCCGGUGGAUACUGUCGGGCUUGAGUACGGAAGAGGCGAGUGGAAUCCCUGGUGUAGCGGUGAAAUGCGCAGAUAUCAGGAAGAACACCCGUGGCGAAAGCGGCUCUCUGGGACGGUACUGACGCUGAGACGCGAAAGCGUGGGGAGCGAACAGG
rnacentral:rRNA from 1 species